AAAACGACUCUCGGCAACGGAUAUCUCGGCUCUCGCAUCGAUGAAGAACGCAGCGAAAUGCGAUACUUGGUGUGAAUUGCAGGAUCCCGCGAACCAUCGAGUCUUUGAACGCAAGUUGCGCCCAAAGCCUUUUGGCCGAGGGCACGUCUGCCUGGGUGUCAC
rnacentral:rRNA from 1 species